rnacentral:rRNA from 1 species
UACGGAGGGGGCUAGCGUUGUUUGGAAUUACUGGGCGUAAAGGGCGCGUAGGCGGCAGGCCAAGCGUGCGGUGAAAGUCCGGGGCUCAACCCCGGAUCUGCCGUGCGGACUGGUUUGCUAGAGCACUGUAGAGGCGAGUGGAAUUCCGGGUGUAGCGGUGGAAUGCGUAGAGAUCCGGAAGAACACCGGUGGCGAAGGCGGCUCGCUGGGCAGUGGCUGACGCUGAGGCGCGACAGCGUGGGGAGCAAACAGG